rnacentral:rRNA from 1 species
AUGUAUUGCGGUAAAAGCCGUGAUGCUACCAUUGUGCUUGAGGCCGUAGCAUCGGAGGACACAUGGAUUUGGCAUGCAUUAUUUAGGUUGCCGGGAACACUCAAUGAUAUCAAUGUCCUCAAUAGAUCUCCUUUGUUCAAAAGAUUAAUUUCUGGGGAUGCUCCAACUUGCAACUACAAAAUCAUGGACAAUGAGUACUCAAUGGGAUACUAUCUCACCGAUGGCAUCUAUCCUGAAUGGGCAACUCUUGUGAAGUCCAUCAAGGAGAAAAAUGGGGUGCCCUUAACAAGAAAAGAGGCUCAUUUCACCAAGGCACAAGAGGCAGCCCGCAAGGAUAUUGAGAGAGCUUUCGGUGUUUUGCAAGCAAGUUUGCCAUAG